GUGAGGAUAAGCUGUUGGAUAUCUCUAGCUCUUACAACACCUCCUCAUAUCUCCGUCUAUCUUUGUUCCUGUCUCCACUCGGGCCUCGGCCAUAAAGAUUAAACUCCUAAAGUCCAGAGGUUGCCACUACUUGAUUUACAAGACCGAGACACCCGACACUCAUUCCUCUCCAACAUCUCACAACCUCAGCAGACCAACACGCGCAGUGUAACCGGUAGGCUCCUCCUCAUGUCCCUUUGCGUGUGUGUGUACAUGUCGGGGAUAUCUCCGGCUGUGAAGCUGGCUGGAGCUGCUGUCGCUCGGCAGUCAGCCUGAAGACAGACAGAAGAUGGACAGACGGGGGAAGUGGAGGACAGAGGCGGGCGCCGUCAGUAACAAGGAUUCAUCCUGUUGUGAUGCUGCAGGCUGACAGGAUAUCGUUGUUACUGGGGGCGAGGCUCUCGCCAACACGCACAGUGCCGCGGGACCUUACCGUUUGUGAUGUGCUGUGAUGUCAUUUCCAAUAAAGGAACAUUUCAAAUCCUCCUCCGGCUGUUCCAGGAUCAAAA